GGCACUCUCGGUGGGACUGCAAAUCUGAGAGGAGGGUGUGAUUGGCUCCCUGAGGUUUUGGUGAAUUUCCUUCCCAUCUUUAACACAAUAGGUUCCCCUGUGGUCUAAGAACGGCCUGAGCUAGUCCCACGGAACUCCAGCAGAGUCACCCUGGCUGCCCGAACACAGACUGUGGAGGGCAAAAUGGGAGGAGGUUCCUAUAGAGGCACAAGUCAGAGAACGUGGUGGCCUGGAUCAGGGAGGAGGCCGUCAGUGUGGUCAGCCACGGUCUGAUUCCAUACGGAUGUGAAGGUCGAGCCUACAGCACUGGUGGAUGGGAGCCAGCGACCUCAUGCUGUCACCUCCCACAGCCCAGAGAGUCUGCCCUCUGGAAUAUGGCCUCAUUCCGUCAUUCACUCAGCAGCUCUGACGACCGUGGUCGGGGCCCAGAGGCUGGGAGCUGCAGAAAGAGUAGAUGUGACCCCCAAGCCCCACCCUGGGGAUACCUCAGGUGGAGCAAAAGCCCAGCCUCACACGGGGGCCUGUCCAUGCCCUGAGCCCCGAAUGUCCACGGUACAUCCUUGUACAAAGCAAAGCCAAGGGUUCUUCGGAAGCUGACCGAGCACCGCGUGGACCCCUCAGGGCCAGGUUUUCUUGGAGCCUCCUCCCUCCCCUCGUGGUCUCAGGUUGGCCACUGUUCUGGCCAAGCCCUGGCAGCCUAAGCCCACAGCCUUGAGGUCACCUGUGCCCAGGGACAGGGCUGGGUUGGGAGGCGGCUGUCACUGCUCACCUCCAGCCCAUCCUCUCCCCUGGACUCCAGACGCACACAGCCGCCUACCCAACCACUCUGCCCGCGUGGACAAUGGGCGUCUCAGACGUACUGUGUCCAGGAUGUGAUGUUCCUCUCAACUUCUCCCAGUGUGGCUGAUCACUGCCCCCUUCCAGAUGACCACGUGAAGCCUUAGCAUCAUCCUUCUUUCUCUCACCUGACAUCCAGUCUGUCGGAAAAUGCUGUCAGCUCUGUCAUUAGAACACAUUGAGAACCUGAGCCCCUCGGCCCCCCUCCACUGCUACCACUGGUCCAGGCCAGCAUCAGCCCUCGCCCCUUUGUUCUGUUCCCAGCACAGCAGCCAGAGUGAUUUUAUUAAAAAGCAAGUAGAUGGUC